rnacentral:rRNA from 1 species
GACGAACGCUGGCGGCGUGCUUAACACAUGCAAGUCGAACGGAAAGGCCCUGCUUUUGUGGGGUGCUCGAGUGGCGAACGGGUGAGUAACACGUGAGUAACCUGCCCUUGACUUUGGGAUAACUUCAGGAAACUGGGGCUAAUACCGGAUAGGAGCUCCUGCUGCAUGGUGGGGGUUGGAAAGUUUCGGCGGUUGGGGAUGGACUCGCGGCUUAUCAGCUUGUUGGUGGGGUAGUGGCUUACCAAGGCUUUGACGGGUAGCCGGCCUGAGAGGGUGACCGGCCACAUUGGGACGGAGAUACGGCCCAGACGCCUACGGGAGGCAGCAGUGGGGAAUAUUGCACAAUGGGCGGAAGCCUGAUGCAGCAACGCCGCGUGCGGGAUGACGGCCUUCGGGUUGUAAACCGCUUUCGCCUGUGACGAAGCGUGAGGGACGGUAAUGGGUAAAGAAGCACCGGCUAACUACGU